rnacentral:rRNA from 1 species
UACGAAGGGGGCUAGCGUUGCUCGGAAUCACUGGGCGUAAAGGGUGCGUAGGCGGGUCUUUUAAGUCAGGGGUGAAAUCCUGGAGCUCAACUCCAGAACUGCCUUUGAUACUGAGGAUCUUGAGACCGGGAGAGGUGAGUGGAAUUCCCAGUGUAGCGGUGAAAUGCGUAGAUAUUGGGAGGAACACCAGUGGCGAAGGCGGCUCACUGGACCGGUACUGACGCUGAUGCGCGAAAGCGUGGGGAGCAAACGGGG